rnacentral:lncRNA from 12 species
CUUUUGCCUGGACCCUGGCAGCAGCCUCCUGGCUGGUCUCCCUGCCUCCAGCCUCUCCCAGCCAUCCCCCCACACACACACACUGUUGCGGAUCUAAUCACACAACUUCCUGUUGUGUAACUGUCCCUUUGCAGUCAUCCGAGCCCCGAGACUGGCACACGGGCCUCCCCGAUAAGCUAAGGACUCAGUAACAGAGCUCCCCCCAGAGCACCUUCAAAGCCUUGGCCUCUGCAGCGCCUGUCGUGCGGAGCACCCUUUCCCAUCUUCAGAUCGAGGUUUCAGAACAUUUCAUCACCUUGAUGAAAUCCUUGAUGACCAACUUGUCACGGAAUAAACAGCCUCCUUCGUAUGAUGGCACAGGACCUGCCUCCACUAGGGAUCUUCCACAGGACCCAGCAUCCAGCCCCAACUGGUAUCAAGACCCCUUCGCAGAAGGCCUGGAGGGCUCAGGGAUUGAGUCUACCCUCGGGUCAGGGGGUGACCCGGGGAUGGGAUCAAGUCCUGCAUGGGGUUCCCCGCAGGGACCCUGCUUCUCCCUCUGCCUGUGUCUCUGCCUCUUUCUCUGUCUCAUGAAUAAAUAAAUAAAAUCCUAAAAAAAAAAAAAAAUGACCCCUCACUGAGGGGCCAUAGUCUCUGUGUCCCUUACUUCAGAUUCUCCAGAGAUAGUAUCUGAGUGCCUGGGCUCGCCUCCGUGCCCCCAGGUGGGGACUGGCUGUCUCAGGUGGGGGCCCUUGUCUGGCCAUCAGCCAUGGUUGGGGUGGGGAGGGGCCUGGACGUCCCAAGACUCCCCCUACAGCAGCUGUGAGCAGGACGUGUUCUCCAGGAGAGGUGUGGACAGGAGGCGGUGAGGGUGCCUCGUGCAAUGAUCGCCUCUACGCGUACCUCGAUGCCCUGUGCCCUCAGAUCCCACCAAAGCCUCUCAUUCUCUGGCAGAGGCUAGUGAGUGCGUGUGUGUGUGUGUGUGUGUGCACACGCGUGUGAUCUCCAGCUGGUCUCAACGUUCCCUGAGGCUCCUGGAACCUUUCAUCCCUCUCAUAUGUCCCUACAGAGCACUUGGAAAAGAGUUUAGUAAACAGCAGCAAACAAAGAAAGCCUUUUUGCUUGAUCUUGGAUUGUAUCUAAGACCAUUUUUAAACUGUUU